AGAUUGAACGCUGGCGGAAUGCUUUACACAUGCAAGUCGAACGGCAGCACGGGGGCAACCCUGGUGGCGAGUGGCGAACGGGUGAGUAAUACAUCGGAACGUGCCCAGUCGUGGGGGAUAACUACGCGAAAGCGUAGCUAAUACCGCAUACGAUCUACGGAUGAAAGCGGGGAUCGCAAGACCUCGCGCGAUUGGAGCGGCCGAUGGCAGAUUAGGAGUUGGUGGGGUAAAGGCUCACCAAGCCGUCGAUCUGUAGCUGGUCUGAGAGGACGACCAGCCACACUGGGACUGAGACACGGCCCAGACUCCUACGGGAGGCAGCAGUGGGAAUCUUGCGCAAUGGGCGAAAGCCUGACGCAGCGACGCCGCGUGGGGAAGAAGGCCUUCGGUUGUAAACCUCUUUCAGCAGGACGAAGCCACUCGGUUAAUAGCCCAGAGGUGACGGUACCUGCAGAAGAAGCCCGGCUAACUACGUGCCAGCAGCCG
rnacentral:rRNA from 1 species